rnacentral:rRNA from 1 species
AUUGAACGCUGGCGGCAGGCCUAACACAUGCAAGUCGAGCGGAGCGGCGGACGGGUGGGUAAUUACUGGGUAUGUGCCUGGUCGAGGGGGAUAACGACCGGAUACGGACGCUAAUACCGAAUACUCUCCGAUGAAACUAGGUCGGAUUAGCUAGUUGGUGGGUUAAAGGCCUGCCAAGGCGACGCUCCGUAACUGGUCUGCGAGGAUGAUCAGUCACACUGGAACUGAGACACGGUCCAGACUCCUACGGGAGGCAGCAGUGGGGAAGAUUGGACAAUGGGCGAAAGCCUGAUCCAGCCAUGCCGCGUGUGUGAAGAAGGUCUUCGGAUUGUAAAGCACUUUAAGUUGGGAGGCGUUACCAACAGAAUAAGCACCGGCUAACUACGUGCCAGCAGCCGCGGUAAUAC